UGAAACAAUAAAUAUUAUGCUUUGUCAUAAUUUAAAACUCAUUAUGUUGAAGUCUUUUCCAGUUGAUAAAAUUGCAAUUCAAAAACUUUUAGGUAGAUUUGUACUGUAUGGAUGGCACAGGAAGAGAACAGAGAACAAGAGUACAAGAACAUGAAACAUCUUAUUAUGAAUGUAUAUGUAUGUGAUCCUCAAAAAAUUAUUUUUCAAAACAAGAUAGAGAAUGAGCUUUAAAAUCCCAAGGAUCCUGCAAAAUGUCUAUUUGGUGUACUAGUCGAAUAAUAGUACCUAUCUAAAAAUAAUGAAACUGUUUUAAAACACAUUAUGGGCAUGAGGAUGAUAUAGAGCACUUACAUAAAUACCAAAAUCAGAUAAAUAUCUCUUCAAAGUUUAUUUUGAGACUUUCUUCAAAAAUUAAACUUCAGACUGUCCAGGAUAGCAUAAUAGCAUAGGAGGCAAAUUAAGAAGAAUUAAUUUACUUACAAGAAGAGAUAUCACAAACAUUAAACUCUCUUAUGGCAUUGAUUUGAAAGAUGGGUAUAUGUACAAUGAUGAUGCAACCAGUGUUUAUUUUUGGGUUGAAUGCUUACAGAUUAUUUAUUUUUUCCAAUAUUAUUUUACAAACAACAGGGCAUACUAAUGGAUAUUCAUUCUGAAUUUAACAUUUAUGAUUUUUGUCUUAUUUUCCUUAAUACUGUGCCAAAAGGAAAUGUUAAUUAAGUUUGGCAAAUCCUUUAUCGCAAUCGAUGGAACUCAUGGGCUCAAUUCCUAUGACUUUGAACUUAUGACAGUAUUAGUAAAAGAUGAAUUUGGGAAUGGA